UUUAAGUGGAAACUCUUGCCAACAAACACCAGCUGUACUGUGAUCUUUUACUGCUGUCUUAUUUCACUAUUCAACAGCUUCCUUCUCCCUUCCUAUCCUAACUUGGAAUACGUAGUGAGAAUUUCAGACCUCAGUACGUAUUUUGGAGUGUCUUAAAAAUUAUACAGUUGCCAUGAUAAGGUGACAUUGGUCUAGGCAAUGAGUUUUUUUGGAUAUGACAAAAAAGCAUAGGCAACAAAAGCAAAAAUAGACAAGUGGGAUUAUAUCAAACUAAAAGCUUCCACACAAGCCACUGUGCCUGGCCCACCUGUUUUAAUUGCACUUAACUUUAUUGUGUGUUUCACAUCUUUUUGAUAGAGGUUCAAGACUACAGUAUCUCUUUUUUUUUUUUUUUUUGAGACAGAAUGUCACUCUAUCACACAGGCUGGAGUGCAGUAGUACAAUCUUGGCUUACUGCAACCUCUAUCUCCCAGUUCAAGUGAUUCUCAUGCCUCAGUCUCCCAAGUAGCUGUGAUUACAGGUGCAUGCUACCUCAUCUGCUAAUUUUUGUAUUGUUAGUAGAGACUGGGUUUCACCACGUUGGCCAGGCUGGUCUCGAACUCCUGACUUCAGGUCAAAAUUGCAGUAUCUUAAUCUCUA
rnacentral:lncRNA from 1 species